UACGGGGGGGGCAAGCGUUGUUCGGAAUUACUGGGCGUAAAGGGCGCGUAGGCGGUUUGCUAAGUUGGAUGUGAAAACUCUGGGCUUAACCCAGAGCCUGCAUCCAAAACUGGCAAACUUGAGUACUGGAGGGGAAAGCGGAAUUCCUGGUGUAGCGGUGAAAUGCGUAGAUAUCAGGAGGAACACCGGUGGCGAAGGCGGGUCUCUGGGCAGUAACUGACGCUGAGGAGCGAAAGCGUGGGGAGCGAACAGG
rnacentral:rRNA from 1 species